CCUGGGGAAAAAAGAGCAGGCAGUGCAGGCCUGUUAGAGAGCCAGAUUCAUGGCUGUUCGGAAUCGAUUGUCUGUAGUCAAUUGACGAAGUCACGAGAGGAAUUUCCCCUUAGGAACGAUCCAUCACCUGUAUAAAAGCACAUGGCAACCCACUCCAAAUACCAAACUGGCAACAUAUGUGUCCUGUGAUCCUGUUAGUAUGAGACGCAUCGGCUUCAGCUUCAAUACAAUACGCAAGGGAAUGAGACCUUAGCUUCCACUGCGGAGUUACCCGGGGAAGUGGAUAGCAGCCAGAGUGCUUCCCGGGAAAGGGGCUGAAUCAAAUGGUUGUUGCUGGAUAACAUCCAACCUUGCAGACAACCUCUGGAAACAUCGGACGGUUUGGUCUUGCUUAAUCUUUUGUUCAGACACUGGAGGAGGCUCGCCAGGAUUGCUUCUGUGAUAGUGGGAGAAGCAGUUGCUCCUUUGGUGUCCAUGGCUGGCUCAACAUAAUGUCUCGACCGGUAUCCCAUAACCCAUGUCCCGUAAGAAUUUGUGUUAUACAAGUAUAUUUUAACAUAUGAAUUGUUAAUAAUUAAGUAACUUCUAUAUAGAAAUAGUAAUGUGAUGAAAUGUUGUACACUUUUUCAUAGUGAGACAUGGUAGUAUAUAGAAUAUAUGAGAAAACAACCCAAUAUUUAUAAGAAACUAGUUGACUAGAGCAUACGUAAACAUUUGUCAAUAAAUACAA